rnacentral:rRNA from 1 species
UACAGAGGUCCCAAGCGUUGUUCGGAUUCACUGGGCGUAAAGGGUGCGUAGGCGGUCGGGUAAGUCUGAUGUGAAAUCUCACAGCUUAACUGUGAAACUGCAUUGGAUACUAUCCGGCUAGAGGAAUGGAGGGGAGACUGGAAUACUUGGUGUAGCAGUGAAAUGCGUAGAUAUCGGGAGGAACACCUGUGGCGAAAGCGGCUCACUGGACCACAACUGACGCUGAGGCGCGAAAGCUAGGGGAGCAAACAGG